rnacentral:rRNA from 1 species
GGAGGGUGCGAGCGUUAAUCGGAAUUACUGGGCGUAAAGCGCGCGUAGGCGGUUUGUUAAGUCAGCUGUGAAAGCCCCGGGCUCAACCUGGGAACUGCAGUUGAUACUGGCCGACUGGAGUGCGAGAGAGGGAGGUAGAAUUCCAUGUGUAGCGGUGAAAUGCGUAGAUAUAUGGAGGAAUACCGGUGGCGAAGGCGGCCUCCUGGCUCGACACUGACGCUGAGGUGCGAAAGCGUGGGGAUCAAACAGGAUUAGAUACCCUGGUAGUCCACGCCGUAAACGAUGUCUACUAGCCGUUGGGAGACUUGAUUUCUUAGUGGCGCAGCUAACGCAAUAAGUAGACCGCCUGGGGAGUACGGCCGCAAGGGUA